AGUGAACGCUGGCGGUAGGCCUAACACAUGCCAGUCGAACGGCAGCACAGUAAGAGCUUGCUCUUACGGGUGGCGAGUGGCGGACGGGUGAGGAAUACAUCGGAAUCUACUUUUUCGUGGGGGAUAACGUAGGGAAACUUACGCUAAUACCGCAUACGACCUACGGGUGAAAGCAGGGGAUCUUCGGACCUUGCGCGAUUGAGUGAGCCGAUGUCGGAUUAGCUAGUUGGCGGGGUAAAGGCCCACCAAGGCGACGAUCCGUAGCUGGUCUGAGAGGAUGAUCAGCCACACUGGAACUGAGACACGGUCCAGACUCCUACGGGAGGCAGCAGUGGGGAAUAUUGGACAAUGGGCGCAAGCCUGAUCCAGCCAUACCGCGUGGGUGAAGAAGGCCUUCGGGUUGUAAAGCCCUUUUGUUGGGAAAGAAAAGCAGCAGGUUAAUACCCCGCUGUUCUGACGGUACCCAAAGAAUAAGCACCGGCUAACUUCGUG
rnacentral:rRNA from 1 species